rnacentral:rRNA from 1 species
UACGUAGGGUGCAAGCGUUAGUCGGAAUUACUGGGCGUAAAGCGUGCGCAGGCGGUUCGGAAAGAAAGAUGUGAAAUCCCAGGGCUCAACCUUGGAACUGCAUUUUUAACUACCGGACUAGAGUAUGUCAGAGGGGGGUGGAAUUCCACGUGUAGCAGUGAAAUGCGUAGAUAUGUGGAGGAACACCGAUGGCGAAGGCAGCCCCCUGGGAUAAUACUGACGCUCAUGCACGAAAGCGUGGGGAGCAAACAG